AGGUCACCGGGAUUCCAUGGGGGAAGGGAGAGCAGAGACUCAGACCAUCUGGCUUCCUCCGACCCCCGGCCACACCCCCUCGCUCGCUCCCGCCUGGAAUGACAGCUCGAGGAGCCCUCCCGGCCUCAGAGCAGGUGCCCUUGCCGGCUCAACAGGUGGCCUGGUCCUGCGCUUUCUCCCGGGGCCAACGGAACAUUUUAAUGACGGGGAUUUGAGGCACCUCAGGCAGCCCUGAGGCUUCCCCCGGGGGUGAGUAGGGGCCGGUCACGGCAGAGCAAGAGGACUGGGUGCACAGGGUGGCAGUGCCCUGGGCGGGAGGGCUAGGGGGAAGAUGAGGGACACCAACAGCCCAGCACAUGGACAAGAGGCUGAGAGGGCAGGCUCUGGGAGGAGGCUCCGGAGGACUUCUUGGAGGAAGAGUCGGCCAGGCUGAGCCUCCAUGAACACGGCCCCCCGAGGCUGUGGGAGGGGGUGAGGGACUGUAGAGGCGGCGUCUCCCUGGCGGCCCCAGACAGCUGAAACUCACCUUCCCUUGGGAAGUGUGGGGCCCCACAGAGACAGGGACACAGGGGCAUGGACGAGGAGGUGAGGAUGUGAGUGUGGUCAGGCGGGCAGGCAGUGAGGCUGCAGCUCGAAGUCCUGGCCUGCUGUCGAGGUGGGCACCGAGCCCAGUUCUCUGCGCUUGGCAAACUGGGCGGAGGGCGGGGCGGCCGACAGAGGCUGACGGCUCACUCCUGCUCAGCUCUCAUCCUGUCCUCCCAGGCAGUGGGCAGAGCUGGGGACCCACGACCACGGACGCUUUUCCGUCUACCCUUGGCCUAGGGAGGCAAGGCUCUGACACUGCACGUGUGACUCAGUUUACCUGCCUGAAGGCCGGGGGCUGGGGGGCGGUGCAGGCAGCUGUGUGCCUCUCCAGGACUCAGGGCCCUUUGCUGGCCUUCAACAGCAGUUGGCAUCCUGGCCCAGCACCCAAGACGCCCCCACCCACCGUGGUCUGGAGCUGCUAAGUGGAGUCUCUGAGGUCCAUGGUAUGGGCGGGGUCCAGACCCCAGCCUCUGAGGCUGCAUGCAGGGCCCAGAGCUGUCACAGACUGUGCCCUGAGCUGCCCGCUGCAGAAUGGAGACCAGGACAGUUCCUCCCUCCUGGGUGUUUGCGGGUGAAGCAGGAAGGUGUGCAGUUUCCUCCAGGGAAAGUCCUGGGCGUGCUUGGUGGAGGGAGAGGAGGCUGGGCACGCAGGGCCAGGUAGGGUGACGGUCCCACAGGCUCCCCAUCCGAGGUCCCCCCGGGGCUAUGCUGGCUCCCUACCUGGGGAAGUCCCAGGCCGCGGGGACAAGCCCGACGCCGUCCCAUUCACCUUCACCACCCACCCGGAACCGGCCUUCCAGAUACGGCCGAGUUAAACCACGUUCAGAGGGAGCCAUAAAACUCCAGGGUGAGAUGAGAUCACACGCUGAUCACUUCAAUCUCCGCUUCCUGGGUUCAAACAAUUCUCCUGCCUCGGCCUCCUGAGAAGCUGGGACUAUAGGCGCCCACCAUCACGCCUGGCUAAUUUUUGUAUUUUUAGUAGAGACAGGGUUUCACCAUGUUGGCCAGGCUAGUCUCGAUCUCCGGAUCUCAUGAUCCACCCGUUCAGCCUCCCAGAAUGCUGGGAUUCCAGGCGUGAGCCCCCGCUCGCGGCCACCGCUAUGGUUUUAUUCUGGUGUAAAUCACGUAACAGAAACCUCACCGUUUUAACUGCCGUAAAGCGUGCAGUGUGGUGGCGUCUGGCACAUUCGUAGCACUGUGCAACCAUCGCUGCCAUCUGGUUCCAGAAUCUUUCGUUGCCAUCCCCAAAAGGAAGCCCUCAGCCCAUGCGUGGUUACUCCCAUCUCCCCAGAUGCUGGGAACCGCAACUCACUGCUCUGAGCACAGUGUGGAAGAGGAGUCUCAAGCAUGUGGUCCUCUGUGUCCCGCUCCGCCCUGAUGUGGUGACUUGAGGC
rnacentral:lncRNA from 10 species